rnacentral:lncRNA from 1 species
ACUGUGUGCCGGCUGCCCUCGCUCUCACUGGCAGGUUCUUCCCUGAUGUUAGAACCCACUUCUUCAGGCGCCCAAAGUAAACUGGAGUAAACAGCAGCUCUCCAAGAAUCCUCUAGGCCUUUUGGCACCAAAUUGGAACUUCCAAAGCAUCCAGCGUUGAGGACUGUCAGUGUGAGACAACCACUGUUGGACGACAAGAGCCACACCGUGAACUGACCAAGAUCACUAAGCACUCCCAGCUCUCAGGCUUUUGGACUCAGGCUGAAUUCUUCUACUGUUCUCCAAUUCUGCAGACAGUAAGCCAUGGGAAUCUCAGUCUCCACAGCCACUGAAUCCUCUUCUUAUAGAGAGACUCCAUGUCUGUGAGGGUACCUAGCAGAGCACCUUGUAGCUAGUAUCUUCUCAUGGACUGGAUGGGAUCCUACAGGAAACAGAAUUCCAGUGUCAGUGUCCCUUCCGAUGCUCUCGGACUCUAAGCCAAACCAAGAGUCUAAUGCAGCUCCUGUCCUGCAGAGGUGUUGUACAACAUACAAGAGGUCAUAAAGACUCUGCCCACAUCAUCUUGGUUAUCAAACUCAAGUGGAACUGCUACUGCUCGAAGACAAAUGUCUUUAAAGUCCCGCUGUCCUGUUUCAAAUAAACAGAGGAAGGAGAGAGAUGGGGAGGAGGUACAGAAUGCCUUGGGGACAGAAGGAAGAAAAUACCCAGAGCAUGCACAAAGCCAAGUGGUGACGAACUCUGGAGGACUUAUCUCAUCCAAGAGAGAGAUAAGAGUGACUGGAGGAAACUGCGUUUGGGAGACACCCCAGUCUCUAUAGUGCUGGCCCCACAAGCAUGAGGACCUGAGUUUGAUCGCCAAAAUAUACACUUUAAAAGUCAAGUUUAGCAGUGUGCACUUGUAAGUCAAGUACUGGGAAGGCUAAAACAGGCCGCUACCGGGUCUCACCAGCCAGCCAGCCUAGCCUACUAGGCAAGUGCAGACCAACAAGAGACCAUGAAACAAAGUGGGUGGCUCCUAAGGAAUGGCACU